AGGGCAGACGGUGGAUGCCUUGGCUCUCGGAGGCGACGAAGGACGUGAUAAGCUGCGAAAAGCCCGGGGGAGGCGCAAAUAGCCCUUGAUCCCGGGAUAUCCGAAUGGGGCAACCCGGCAGGCUGAAGGCCUGCCAUCCCGUAAGGGAGGCGAACGUGGGGAACUGAAACAUCUAAGUACCCAUAGGAGGAGAAAAUAAACAAUGAUUCCGUAAGUAGUGGCGAGCGAACACGGAAGAGCCCAAACCCAUGUCGUCUAGGCGACACGGGGGUUGUAGGACCACGACGUGGCAAGAAGGAAGGGAAAUGGAACGACUUGGAAAAGUCGGCCAUAGACGGUGAAAGCCCGGUACAUGACUCCCUUACGAAGCCUAGUGGUAUCCUGAGUAGCGCGGGGCACGAGAAAUCUUGCGUGAAACAGCGGGGCCCAUCCCGUAAGGCUAAAUACUCCCGAGAGACCGAUAGCGAACCAGUACCGUGAGGGAAAGGUGAAAAGCACUUCGAACAGAAGAGUGAAAUAGUUCCUGAAACCGUGCGCCUACAAGCGGUCGGAGCUCGUUAAUGAGUGACGGCGUGCCUUUUGCAUAAUGAACCUACGAGUUGCCUUUGCCGGCAAGGUUAAGUGUGACGACACACGUAUCCGAAGCGAAAGCGAGUCUGAACAGGGCGUAUAGUCGGCAGUGGCAGACGCGAAACCAAGUGAUCUACCCUUGGCCAGGUUGAAGGCUGGGUAACACCAGCUGGAGGACCGCACCAAUAAGCGUUGAAAAGCUUCUGGAUGAGCUGAGGGUAGGGGUGAAAGGCUAAUCAAACUUGGAGAUAGCUCGUACUCCCCGAAAUGCAUUUAGGUGCAGCCUUGCGGGUUACUGAUGUGAGGUAGAGCGACUGAUAAGAUGCGAGGGCUUCACCGCCUAUCAAGUCUUGACAAACUCCGAAUGCGCAUCAGUUCUACCGCAGGAGUGAGGGCAUGGGUGCUAAGGUCCGUGCCCGAGAGGAGAAGAAUCCGGACCACCUGCUAAGGUCCCGAAAUGACAGCUAAGUUAAACUAACGAAGUCUGACUGCUAAGACAGCUAGGAUGUUGGCUUGGAAGCAGCCAUUCAUUUAAAGAGUGCGUAACAGCUCACUAGUCGAGGAGUCGGGCGUGGAUAAUAAUCGGGUAUGAAGUUGUCUACCGAAGCAGUGGGAUCAUUUAUAUGAUCGGUAGGGGAGCAUUCCAGUCGGCGUCGAAGGCGUACCGUGAGGUAUUCUGGAGCGUCUGGAAAAGCAAAUGUAGGUAUAAGUAACGAUAAAGGGGGCGGGAAACCCCCUCGCCGAAAGACUAAGGUUUCCUGAUCAACGCUAAUCGGAUCAGGGUCAGUCGGGUCCUAAGGCUCAGCCGAACGGCGAUGCCGAUGGCAGAAACGGUUAAUAUUCCGUUACUACCUUCAGGAGUGACGUGGAGACGCAGUAGUGACAGUGCCGCCAUCUGACGGAAUAGAUGGUUGAAGGGUGUAGGAGUCGAUCAUGGCAGGCAAAUCCACCAUGAGAUCCGAACCUGACAGUAUGCCGCGUCCUUCGGGACAAGGCAAUAGUGCGCGUAAGCAUGCUGCCGAGAAAAUCCGCUAAACUUAAUCCUGCAGGUACCCGUACCGCAAACGGACACACGUAGUCGGGAUGAAUAUUCUAAGGCGCUUGAGUGAUUCACGGUUAAGGAACUAGGCAAACUGACCCUGUAACUUCGGGAUAAAGGGUCCCUACCCUUUUAUGGGAGGGCGCAGAGAAUCGGUCCAGGCAACUGUUUAACAAAAACACAGGGCUGUGCCAAAUCGAAAGAUCCAGUAUACAGCCUGACACCUGCCCGGUGCUGGAAGGUUAAGAGGAGAUGUCAUCGAUAAGAGAAGCGUUGAAUUGAAGCCCCAGUAAACGGCGGCCGUAACUAUAACGGUCCUAAGGUAGCGAAAUUCCUUGUCGGGUAAGUUCCGACCUGCACGAAUGGUGUAAUGAUCUGGACGCUGUCUCAACCGUGAGCUCAGUGAAAUUGUAGUAUCGGUGAAGAUGCCGAUUACCCGCGAUGGGACGAAAAGACCCCGUGAACCUUUACUAUAGCUUAACAUUGAAUUUGGGUAAUUGAUGUGUAGGAUAGGCCGGAGACUUUGAAGCAGGUACGCCAGUAUUUGUGGAGUCGCUGUUGAAAUACGGCCCUUUGAUUAUUUGAGUUCUAACUCGUAGAUACGAGGACACUGUUUGGUGGGUAGUUUGACUGGGGUGGUCGCCUCCAAAAGUGUAACGGAGGCUUCUAAAGGUGCCCUCAGGACGAUUGGUAACCGUCCGUAGAGUGUAAUGGCAUAAGGGCGCUUGACUGGGAGACAGACAAGUCGAUCAGGUAGGAAACUAGAGCAUAGUGAUCCGGUGUUUCCGUAUGGA
rnacentral:rRNA from 1 species